rnacentral:rRNA from 1 species
UACGGAGGGGGUUAGCGUUGUUCGGAAUUACUGGGCGUAAAGCGCACGUAGGCGGAUUAUUAAGUUAGAGGUGAAAUCCCAGGGCUCAACCUGGAACUGCCUUUAAUACUGGUAGUCUUGAGUUCGAGAGAGGUGAGUGGAAUUCCGAGUGUAGAGGUGAAAUUCGUAGAUAUUCGGAGGAACACCAGUGGCGAAGGCGGCUCACUGGCUCGAUACUGACGCUGAGGUGCGAAAGCGU